AUUGAACGCUGGCGGCAUGCUUUACACAUGCAAGUCGAACGGCAGCGCGGGCUUCGGCCUGGCGGCGAGUGGCGAACGGGUGAGUAAUGCAUCGGAACGUGCCCAGUAGUGGGGGAUAGCCCGGCGAAAGCCGGAUUAAUACCGCAUACGACCUGAGGGUGAAAGCGGGGGACCGACAGGCCUCGCGCUAUUGGAGCGGCCGAUGUCGGGUUAGCUAGUUGGUGGGGUAAAGGCUUACCAAGGCGACGAUCCGUAGCUGGUCUGAGAGGACGACCAGCCACACUGGGACUGGGACACGGCCCAGACUCCUACGGGAGGCAGCAGUGGGGAAUUUUGGACAAGGGGGGCAACCCUGAUCCAGCCAUGCCGCGUGCGGGAAGAAGGCCUUCGGGUUGUAAACCGCUUUUGUUCGGGAAGAAAUCCUCUGGGCUAAUACCCCGGGGGGAUGACGGUACCGGAAGAAUAAGCACCGGCUAACUACGUG
rnacentral:rRNA from 1 species